rnacentral:rRNA from 1 species
UAGUGGCAGACGGGUGAGUAACGCGUGGGAACGUGCCUUUCACUACGGAAUAGCUCUUGGAAACGAGUGGUAAUACCGUAUACGCCCUCCGGGGGAAAGAUUUAUCGGUGAAAGAUCGGCCCGCGUUAGAUUAGCUUGUUGGUGAGGUAAUGGCUCACCAAGGCGACGAUCUAUAGCUGGUUUGAGAGGAUGAUCAGCCACACUGGGACUGAGACACGGCCCAGACUCCUACGGGAGGCAGCAGUGGGGAAUAUUGCGCAAUGGAGGAAACUCUGACGCAGCCAUGCCGCGUGAGUGAAGAAGGCCUUAGGGUUGUAAAGCUCUUUCAGACGUGAUGAUGAUGACAGUAGCGUCAAAAGAAGUUCCGGCUAACUUCGUGCCAGCAGCCGCGGUAAUACGAAGGGAACUAGCGUUGUUCGGAUUUACUGGGCGUAAAGAGCAUGUAGGCGGAUUGGACAGUUGAGGGUGAAAUCCCAGAGCUCAACUCUGGAACGGCCUUCAAUACUUCCAGUCUGGAGUCCGUAAGGGGGUGGUGGAAUUCCGAGUGUAGAGGUGAAAUUCGUAGAUAUUCGGAGGAACACCAGUGGCGAAGGCGACCACCUGGUACGG